UACGGGGGGGGCAAGCGUUGUUCGGAAUUACUGGGCGUAAAGGGCUCGUAGGCGGCCAACUAAGUCAGACGUGAAAUCCCUCGGCUUAACCGGGGAACUGCAUCUGAUACUGGAUGGCUUGAGUUCGGGAGAGGGAUGCGGAAUUCCAGGUGUAGCGGUGAAAUGCGUAGAUAUCUGGAGGAACACCUGCGGUGUAGACGGCUUACUGGACGGUAACUGACGCUGAGGCACGAAAGCGUGGGUAGCAAACAGG
rnacentral:rRNA from 1 species